rnacentral:tRNA from 1 species
GGGGAUGUAGCUCAGUGGCAGAGCACCUGCCUGGCAUGUGUGAGAUGCUGGGUUCAACCUCCAGCAUCCCAA